UUCCAUCUCCUCACAGCCCUGCCCCAUGACAGGCCCACCUCUCAGCCUGGCCUCAGCUCAUCCACACCUGCAGAGAGAUUUCUGGUGGCAGGAUUGGGCCUGUUAUGGCAUACAGAGUCUCUUUGACCAAAACAUGUUCAGAAGACAUUAAGCAUCCUGGAAAGCCCUGAGAAGAAAAUGUGACAGAAAACAUUGGGACAUGAUUUUCAGAAUGCAGCCAAUGAUUUAAGUCAAAAACAAUUAGAAUUUUCCGGCUGAGACAAAGAUUCCGAACGGUAAAUAGUCUGUGUGUUUUAGUUUUGUCUUACAAAUAAGCUAAACUACAUCCUUAAAGCAAACAGAAAGAGCUAGCCUCAAAAUCUCAUAUUCUGGUAUACGCUGUCCUAGUUUUUCUUCAAAUAAAAACAGAAAAUCAGCCAGCCACAAGGUCAUCCAGCCUAGCAAUCUUAUUUUCAGUAGUGAAAAAUAGUAGUAGAUAGAAAAUAGUAAACAUAAGACCUGUAAGAGUAGGUCAAGCAUUUACAAUACUUACACUCCACUCUUCAAAUCUCCAAAUAUUCAGCCUGGAUCACAGCACUACAGUCCAUCUUUUGUGCUGUAAAUGACUAUCCUUACAACUAAUACUAUACUAACUCAAUAAAAACUGUUGUUUUUUGUUUGCUUGUUUUUUAAAUACUCCUGUUCAUGCAUUUCAUUGCUAAAAUUUUCAGUGCAUAAUUAAAAUUUAACUCUCAGAAUAGAAACUAGUAAAA